AUUGAACGCUGGCGGCAGGCCUAACACAUGCAAGUCGAGCGGUAGAGAGAAGCUUGCUUCUCUUGAGAGCGGCGGACGGGUGAGUAAUGCCUAGGAAUCUGCCUGGUAGUGGGGGAUAACGUUCGGAAACGGACGCUAAUACCGCAUACGUCCUACGGGAGAAAGCAGGGGACCUUCGGGCCUUGCGCUAUCAGAUGAGCCUAGGUCGGAUUAGCUAGUUGGUGGGGUAAUGGCUCACCAAGGCGACGAUCCGUAACUGGUCUGAGAGGAUGAUCAGUCACACUGGAACUGAGACACGGUCCAGACUCCUACGGGAGGCAGCAGUGGGGAAUAUUGGACAAUGGGCGGAAGCCUGAUCCAGCCAUGCCGCGUGUGUGAAGAAGGUCUUCGGAUUGUAAAGCACUUUAAGUUGGGAGGAAGGGCAGUAAAUUAAUACUUUGCUGUUUUGACGUUACCGACAGAAUAAGCACCGGCUAACUCUGUG
rnacentral:rRNA from 1 species